rnacentral:tRNA from 27 species
UAGCUCAGUUGGUUAGAGCACAUCACUCAUAAUGAUGGGGUCACAGGUUCGAAUCCCGUCGUAGCCACCA